rnacentral:misc_RNA from 1 species
AAACAUUCCGCACGCGUCCAGUUUGGAAAUGUCCGGUGAUAAUUGACAGAACGAAUUCAUUUGCCUGUGCGCGCCUCUUUCGGCGCAAAUAUCGGGGCAAAUAUCGGGGCAAAUACCAGAUACUACUACGUAUCGUAUACGUAAAUGGUACCACGUAUCGCGAUUCCGGCAAAGACAAACUACGAAAAAGCGAAAGUACGUUUGUUCUCAUCGUCGACUUACCCCACGUGGUCGCGAUCGAGGCUGUCUCUCCCAUCGUUCACGUCCGUCUUUCCUCUUUGUCUUCUUCGUCGCGCUCCGACGUUCACCAAGCGUCCGUCUCGCUCUCUCGUUUUCUCCCACCCCUUGGGCCGUUCCUCUCCUUUCGUCCCCGUUCCUCCGUUGUCGGCCGAUCCGCCGCCCCCACCCGGUCACCUAUGAUACUCCCCCUCCCUGGUGGGAAAGCCGUCUUAGGGGGUCUGGCGGCGGUGGUUCACGGCAAGGGGGAGGGCUGCGAGAUCGGCGACCACGUGACCGACGUGACCGGAACCGCUGGAAACGCGGAACAGCGUCCCCCGAUCGUGAUCCUAUGCCGUUGCCGGCGUUGAUCGCGGUCGUCGUCCGGCACUCUCCGUCUUCUCUCCGGGUCCUCGUGGUUCGUCCUGGUCGCGUUCCAUCCUCGUUGCAUCGCUUCCUCCGACCGUUCGCUCGGCGGUCGGUCGGUCGGUCGGUCGAUCUCGCUGCAAAUCACGGACACGUACGUACGGUUGGUAGGUGGAGGACCGACGCGGUGUGCAACUCGACCGUUUUUUCCCGAGCGGUGGUGGCCCGCGCUGAAGCCAAGGAACACGUGCCGCGGCCGUGGCCGUAGCCGCGAUGAUUUUCAGCCAUUUUCGCGAGAGAGACCGGGCCUUUCUCCGUUUGCCCGAGCGGCGCUGAGAAGCGCGUGGUGUGCUAGCGACUGCUAUCUGCCGCGGAGCGAGUCGGCCGCGGGACUUUGGUAUACUGGGAGUAUGGCUGGGCUGGCGAGUUUGUACGACGUUCGGAUGCACGUGUCUACGCGGACGAAGCGAAGAACCAUACCGGGUACAUCUCCACCGAGCAACGGCAGCCGGUGAGUAUCCGGUGGUCGAGUUGCAAGAAGAAGAAGAGACAGGAUGAUACGAGACGGGACGAGACGAGACGAGACGAGACGAAACCAGACGAGAUCGGAGGAGAUCGGACGAGCGAAGAUCCCGUUGGACCGAGAGAGAAAGCAACGAGUCUACUCGAGGCUGAGCCUCGUGCGUAUGAUAUUAAACACUAUAAUUAUUAUUUAAAUUCCAGUAGGAUAGCUCCCGGUGUUGCGGCUCUCCUCUUCACCUUCGCUGCGUCUCUUUCUCUUUCCUCGUCUCUCGUUUCUCCUUUCCUUAUUACUCUCUUCCCUCUUCUGCCGU